AUUGAACGCUGGCGGCAGGCCUAACACAUGCAAGUCGAGCGCGAAAGCACUUCGGUGUGAGUAGAGCGGCGGACGGGUGAGUAAUGCUUGGGAAUCUGCCCAGUAGUGGGGGAUAACCUGUGGAAACGCAGGCUAAUACCGCAUACGUCCUACGGGAGAAAGCAGGGGAUCUUCGGACCUUGCGCUAUUGGAUGAGCCCCAAGUCGGAUUUAGCUUGUUGGUGGGGUAAUGGCUCACCAAGGCAACGAUCCGUAGCUGGUCUGAGAGGAUGAUCAGCCACACUGGGACUGAGACACGGCCCAGACUCCUACGGGAGGCAGCAGUGGGGAAUAUUGCACAAUGGGCGAAAGCCUGAUGCAGCCAUGCCGCGUGUGUGAAGAAGGCUCUAGGGUUGUAAAGCACUUUCAGUAGGGAGGAAAUGUUAACGAUUAAUACUCGUUAGCUUUGACGUUACCUACAGAAGAAGCACCGGCAAACUCCGUG
rnacentral:rRNA from 1 species